AGAGUUGAUCCUGGCUUAGGACGAACGCUGGCGGCGUGCCUAACACAUGCAAGUCGAACGAAGCAUUGGAGCCGAUCUCUUCGGGGUGACGCACCUUAUGACUUAGUGGCGGACGGGUGAGUAACACGUGAGCAACCUGCCUCUCAGAGUGGAAUAACAGUUGGAAACGGCUGCUAAUACCACAUAACGUUUUUUGUGCCGCAUGACACUUCAACCAAAGAUUUAUCGCUGAGAGAUGGGCUCGCGUCCGAUUAGGUAGAUGGUGGGGUAACGGCCUACCAUGCCGACGAUCGGUAGCCGGACUGAGAGGUUGAUCGGCCACAUUGGGACUGAGACACGGCCCAGACUCCUACGGGAGGCAGCAGUGGGGGAUAUUGCACAAUGGGCGCAAGCCUGAUGCAGCAACGCCGCGUGCGGGAAGACGGCCUUCGGGUUCGUAAACCGCUGUCCUUGGGGAAGAAACAAAUGACGGUACCCAAGAAGGAAGCCACGGCUAACUACGUGCCAGCAGCAGC
rnacentral:rRNA from 1 species